rnacentral:rRNA from 1 species
GACGAACGCUGGCGGCGUGCCUAAUACAUGCAAGUAGAACGCACAGGAUGCACCGUAGUUUACUACACCGUAUUCUGUGAGUUGCGAACGGGUGAGUAACGCGUAGGUAACCUGCCUGGUAGCGGGGGAUAACUAUUGGAAACGAUAGCUAAUACCGCAUAAGAACAUUUACUGCAUGGUAGAUGUUUAAAAGGUGCAAGAGCAUCACUACCAGAUGGACCUGCGUUGUAUUAGCUAGUUGGUGAGGUAACGGCUCACCAAGGCAACGAUACAUAGCCGACCUGAGAGGGUGAUCGGCCACACUGGGACUGAGACACGGCCCAGACUCCUACGGGAGGCAGCAGUAGGGAAUCUUCGGCAAUGGGGGAAACCCUGACCGAGCAACGCCGCGUGAGUGAAGAAGGUUUUCGGAUCGUAAAGCUCUGUUGUUAAGGAAGAACGUGUGUGAGAGUGGAAAGUUCACACAGUGACGGUACUUAACCAGAAAGGGACGGCUAACUACGUGCCAGCAGCCGCGGUAAUACGUAGGUCUCGAGCGUUGUCCGGAUUUAUUGGGCGUAAAGCGAGCGCAGGCGGUUAGAUAAGUCUGAAGUGAAAGGCAGUGGCUCAACCAUUGUAGGGUUUGGAAACUGUUUAACUUUGAGUGCAGAAGGGGAGAGUGGAAUUCCAUGUGUAUCGGUGAAAUGCGUAAAUAUAUAAAGGGAACACCGGUGGCGAAGGGGGCUUUCUGGUCUUGAAAUGACGCCCAGCGUCGAAGCUGGUGGUCUAAAAUGACUCAUACUCGGGAACCAGGGGGAUCCCAGAGUGUUUUUUGGGUGUAGAC